rnacentral:rRNA from 1 species
AGAGUGAACGCUGGCGGUAGGCCUAACACAUGCAAGUCGAACGGCAGCACGGUAAGAGCUUGCUCUUAUGGGUGGCGAGUGGCGGACGGGUGAGGAAUACAUCGGAAUCUACCUUUUGGUGGGGGAUAACGUAGGGAAACUUACGCUAAUACCGCAUACGCCCUUCGGGGGAAAGCCGGGGACCAGCAAUGGCCUGGUGCUGAUAGAUGAGCCGAUGUCGGAUUAGCUAGUUGGUGAGGAAAUGGCUCACCAAGGCGACGAUCCGUAGCUGGUCUGAGAGGAUGAUCAGCCCACACUGGAACUGAGACGACGGUCCAGACCUCCGUACGGGA